rnacentral:rRNA from 1 species
GUAGGUGGCAAGCGUUGUCCGGGAAUUAUUGGGGCGUAAAGCGCGCGCAGGCGGUUCUUUAAGUCUGAUGUGAAAGCCCACGGGCUCAACCGUGGAGGGUCAUUGGAAACUGGAGAACUUGAGUACAGAAGAGGAAAGCGGAAUUCCACGUGUAGCGGUGAAAUGCGUAGAGAUGUGGAGGAACACCAGUGGCGAAGGCGGCUUUCUGGUCUGUAGCUGACGCUGAGGCGCGAAAGCGCGGGGAGCAAACAGGAUUAGAUACCCUGGUAGUCCACGCCGUAAACGAUGAGUGCUAAGUGUUAGGGGGUUUCCGCCCCUUAGUGCUGCAGCUAACGCAUUAAGCACUCCGCCUGGGGAGUACGGCCGCAAAGGCUG